UGGGGAAUAUUGCACAAUGGAGGGAACUCUGAUGCAGCGACGCCGCGUGAACGAAGAAGGCUUUCGAGUCGUAAAGUUCUUUUAUAUGGGAAGAUAAUGACGGUACCAUAAGAAAAAGCCCCGGCUAACUACGUGCCAGCAGCCGCGGUAAUACGUAGGGGGCUAGCGUUGUCCGGAAUCACUGGGCGUAAAGGGUUCGCAGGCGGAAAUGCAAGUCAGGUGUAAAAGGCAGUAGCUUAACUACUGUAAGCAUUUGAAACUGCAUAUCUUGAGAAGAGUAGAGGUAAGUGGAAUUUUUAGUGUAGCGGUGAAAUGCGUAGAUAUUAAAAAGAAUACCAGUGGCGAAGGCGGCUUACUGGGCUCAUUCUGACGCUGAGGAACGAAAGCGUGGGUAGCAAACAGG
rnacentral:rRNA from 1 species